UACGGAGGGUGCAAGCGUUGUUCGGAAUCAUUGGGCGUAAAGCGCGUGUAGGUGGCUUGGCAAGUCGGUUGUGAAAUCCCGGGGCCCAACCCCGGAACUGCAUUCGAAACUGCCUCGCUAGAGUCCCGGAGAGGAAGGCGGAAUUCCCGGUGUAGAGGUGAAAUUCGUAGAUAUCGGGAGGAACACCAGCGGCGAAGGCGGCCUUCUGGACGGUGACUGACACUGAGACGCGAAAGCGUGGGGAGCAAACAGG
rnacentral:rRNA from 1 species